rnacentral:rRNA from 1 species
CGUAGGGGGCAAGCGUUGUCCGGAAUCAUUGGGCGUAAAGAGCGUGUAGGCGGCUCGAUAAGUCUGCUGUGAAAGUCCAGGGCUCAACCCUGGAAGGCCGGUGGAAACUGUCGGGCUAGAGUCCGGAAGAGGCGAGUGGAAUUCCCGGUGUAGCGGUGAAAUGCGCAGAUAUCGGGAGGAACACCAAUGGCGAAGGCAGCUCGCUGGGACGGUACUGACGCUGAGACGCGAAAGCGUGGGGAGCAAACAGG